rnacentral:tRNA from 1 species
GGAAAGGUGGCCGAGUCAGGUUUAUGGCACCGCCCUGCUAAGGCGGCGACGUGUGAGCGUCCGUGGGUUCAAAUCCCGCCCUUUCCGCCA